rnacentral:rRNA from 1 species
GACGAACGCUGGCGGCGUGCCUAAUACAUGCAAGUCGAGCGAGCGGACCCAACAGAUUUACUUCGGUAAUGACGUUGGGAAAGCGAGCGGCGGAUGGGUGAGUAACACGUGGGGAACCUGCCCCUAAGUCUGGGAUACCAUUUGGAAACAGGUGCUAAUACCGGAUAAGAAAGCAGAUCGCAUGAUCAGCUUUUAAAAGGCGGCGUAAGCUGUCGCUAAGGGAUGGCCCCGCGGUGCAUUAGCUAGUUGGUAAGGUAACGGCUUACCAAGGCAACGAUGCAUAGCCGAGUUGAGAGACUGAUCGGCCACAUUGGGACUGAGACACGGCCCAAACUCCUACGGGAGGCAGCAGUAGGGAAUCUUCCACAAUGGACGCAAGUCUGAUGGAGCAACGCCGCGUGAGUGAAGAAGGUUUUCGGAUCGUAAAGCUCUGUUGUUGGUGAAGAAGGAUAGAGGUAGUAACUGGCCUUUAUUUGACGGUAAUCAACCAGAAAGUCACGGCUAACUACGUG